AAUCAUAAGAUAAAGUGGAAAUGAGGAUCAAAUUAAAGUUACAUAUCAAUUAACUUUAAAUGCUGCUGUGAAGCAGUGUGAAUUGGAACACAAGGAGAGAGGCCAGCACUCGGUGUAGAUGGAUCUGUACUUGAUUAACUCUUGAACAGACUUGGAGAUUACUCUGGGAUCGACUAUUCUUCCUUACCAUCUAUGCAAAUCAUCUAUGGUACACUGUGGCUGAAUUAUCCAUAAUGACUACAUGAUUGCAUAUACUGUUUAAUGGAUAUGGGAUGGAGUUUCAACUUGGGACUGAAACAACAUUUUAGCUUCUAGUUCCACCUGCUUUUUAUAUGGACACUAUAAAUA